rnacentral:rRNA from 1 species
CCUACGGGGGGCAGCAGUGGGGAAUAUUGGGCAAUGGGCGCAAGCCUGAACCAGCAAUGCCGCGUGAAGGAAGAAGGCUUUCGGUUUGUAAACUUCUUUGACAGGGGAAGAGCAGAAGACGGUACCCUGAAAACAAGCCACGGCUAACUACGUGCCAGCAGCCGCGGUAAUGCGUAGGUGGCAAGCGUUGUCCGGAUUUACUGGGUGUAAAGGGCGUGUAGCCGGGAAGGCAAGUCAGAUGUGAAAUCUGGAGGCUCAACCUCCAAAGUGCAGUUGAAACUGUUUUUCUUGAGUACUGGAGAGGCAGACGGAAUGCCUUGUGUAGCGGUGAAAUGCGUAGAUAUAGGGAGGAACACCAGUGGCGAAGGCGGUCUGCUGGACAGCAACUGACGGUGAGGCGCGAAAGCGUGGGUAGCAAACAGGAUUAGAUACCCUUGUAGUC